CGUUCCCUGCAGUGCCCGUGAUGGGUAUUGAGUCUUGAGCCAACACCCAUCAUAAGGGAGCUAAGUUCGGCUAUAGGUUUGCUUAUGGUCGACAGGCGCCCACCUUAAACCUGGGUUCAGAGACUUGUAUCCACACGGCACAGGCAGGGGACAU
rnacentral:other from 1 species